rnacentral:lncRNA from 1 species
GCUUUGCCGCCGGAACGGUAUAGUUGGAGGAGGAAGGAAUGGCAGAGGUGGUAGAGGAAGUAGAGGAGGGUGAGGAUGAUGACUGCGGUGGCGGAGAUUGUGAGGGAUAGGAAAAGGAAACUGCUUUUUGUUGGGAAGGUCGGUCGAGGUCGGAAGUGGUCGUCGGUCGAGGUCGGAAGUGGUCGUCGGCUAACGGCGGCGACGACAGUAAGGCUCUGGCAGGCAUUUUUCUUCUGGGUUUGUUUGUUCUGCAAAAAUGGAAUCUUGGGUUGCUGUAUGUUGAAGUUUUGGUAUACUAAAGUCACAGCCUUUUUCUGCUACGAGUAAUAUGAAUCUGAUCGUUUGUUCUUUGUGCUUGCUUUCUUUAUUCGUGCUUUCUUUUUCUGGUGACAGGGACAGGCACAAGCGGGCAUGUUUCGAUACUUGAAUCAUGAACAUCUCCCUUUAAUUAUUUACGGUGAAAUUGGGUUCUGCAUAGAUUGUUGAAAUCUGAUAUUUAUCCAAUUUUGUUGCUUUACAGUUGUUCGUAUUUAUAUAAUGCUAAUUGUAUCUGUGAUUGCGAGUCAGAAGUGGGACAUAUUUUUAACGAACCACUCUGCUUCCAAUUCCUCUGUUUCCAGAAAUGAGAACAGAGAAGUGUGAGCUUAGAAUAAAGAUGUAUCUUACUGAAAAAUAUCGAUAAGGAAUAGAAU